rnacentral:rRNA from 1 species
GAUGAACGCUGGCGGCGUGCCUAAUACAUGCAAGUCGAGCGAACGGACGAGAAGCUUGCUUCUCUGAUGUUAGCGGCGGACGGGUGAGUAACACGUGGAUAACCUACCUAUAAGACUGGGAUAACUUCGGGAAACCGUAGCUAAUACCGGAUAAUAUUUUGAACCGCAUGGUUCAAAAGUGAAGGACGGUCUUGCUGUCACUUAUAGAUGGAUCCGCGCUGCAUUAGCUAGUUGGUAAGGUAACGGCUUACCAAGGCAACGAUGCAUAGCCGACCUGAGAGGGUGAUCGGCCACACUGGAACUGAGACACGGUCCAGACUCCUACGGGAGGCAGCAGUAGGGAAUCUUCCGCAAUGGGCGAAAGCCUGACGGAGCAACGCCGCGUGAGUGAUGAAGGUCUUCGGAUCGUAAAACUCUGUUAUUAGGGAAGAACAUAUGUGUAAGUAACUGUGAACAUCUUGACGGUACCUAAUCAGAAAGCCACGGCUAACUACGUG